rnacentral:rRNA from 1 species
AGAGUUUGAUCAUGGCUCAGAAUGAACGUUGGCGGCGUGGAUUAGGCAUGCAAGUCGAGCGAGAACCUCCAGCAAUGGAGGGGAAAGCGGCGAAAGGGACAGUAACACGUGGACCAUCUGCCCUCAGGUCCGGGAUAGCUGCGGGAAACUGCAGGUAAUACCGGAUAAUGUCUCCGGACCAAAGGUGUGAUUCCUCCUGAGGAUGAGUCCGCGUCCUAUCAGCUAGUUGGUGAGGUAACGGCUCACCAAGGCAACGACGGGUAGCAGGUGUGAGAGCACGACCUGCGUCACUGGGACUGAGACACUGCCCAGACACCUACGGGUGGCUGCAGUCGAGGAUCUUCGGCAAUGGGCGCAAGCCUGACCGAGCGACGCCGCGUGUGGGAUGAAGGCCUUCGGGUUGUAAACCACUGUCAGUGGGGAGGAAGGUCCGGUGAAGAGCCGGAUUUGACCUAUCCGCAGAGGAAGUGUGGGCUAAGUCCGUGCCAGCAGCCGCGGUAAGACGGACCACACGAACGUUAUUCGGAAUUACUGGGCUUAAAGGGUGCGUAGGCUGUGCAGAAAGUUGGGUGUGAAAUCCCUCGGCUUAACCGAGGAAUUGCGCCCAAAACUACUGUGCUUGAGGAAGAUAGAGGUAAGCGGAACUUAGGGUGGAGCGGUGAAAUGCGUUGAUAUCCUAAGGAACACCGGUGGCGAAAGCGGCUUACUGGGUCUUUUCUGACGCUGAGGCACGAAAGCUAGGGUAGCGAACGGGAUUAGAUACCCUAGUAGUCC